GACAGAGGGUGCAAGCGUUGUUCGGAAUUAUUGGGCGUAAAGGGCGCGUAGGCGGCUUUGUAAGUCAGAUGUGAAAUCCCAGGGCUUAACCCUGGAAGUGCAUCUGAUACUGCUUGGCUUGAGUGCUGGAGAGGGUGGUGGAAUUCCUGGUGUAGAGGUGAAAUUCGCAGAUAUCAGGAGGAACACCAAUGGCGAAGGCAGCUCACUGGGACGAUACUGACGCUGAGACGCGAAAGCGUGGGGAGCAAACAGG
rnacentral:rRNA from 1 species